rnacentral:rRNA from 1 species
UACGUAGGCAGCAAGCGUUGUUCGGAAUUAUUGGGCGUAAAGAGCUCGUAGGCGGUUUGUCGCGUCUGCCGUGAAAGUCCGGGGCUCAACUCCGGAUCUGCGGUGGGUACGGGCAGACUAGAGUGAUGUAGGGGAGACUGGAAUUCCUGGUGUAGCGGUGAAAUGCGCAGAUAUCAGGAGGAACACCGAUGGCGAAGGCAGGUCACUGGGCCGCAACUGACGCUGAGGAGCGAAAGCAUGGGGAGCGAACAGG